UUCUGUUGAAAGACACAUAGUCCAUAUCCGAUUUUGACUAUUGAGAAUAAAACUGUUUGAAAUUAUUUUUUACAUCUUUUGGUGAACAUAUUCCCUCAUUUCUCUUAGACACUUGGAUCAGAAUUGCUGGAUAUGAGCAUGGCAUGUUUAGCAACAGUAAAUCCCACUAAGCAAAAUUUCAAAGUGACUUAAAUGACUUAUAAUCUCACCAGCAAUAGACACGCAGUUCUUGUUGGCUUUAUGUAGAAGAGAAUUCUCCCCCACUGGUCUUCUUUCAGCAAGUAUUAUGUAACCAAGGAGACAAUGACUAACGGCAUCUAGAAUAAAUUCAGCAACUCUUUUCACAAAGAAGUUAAAGGAGGCACUCUCCCAAAAUCUAACAUGGCUGAAAUAUCAAGGAAAGAAAAUCAAUACAUUGAAAGCCACCUCUAGGGUUUUGCAGAUAAAAGAGGCUGGUGAUUUUCCAUCUUUGGUGAAGAUAUGGAAGAAGAAAUGAAAUGGAUAUGAAGUUUGAUAAAACUGUCCAAGUUCAAUCUAUGGUAAUUGAAAAACUCUUGUCUAUGCUAACGGUAAAAGGUUAGUGUAUAUUUGUUGUAUUAUAUUUGUUGUAUAGCGUCCGUUUUCACUUUUCUCUGGAAACAGUGACUUGAUUUUACGUAAAAUAAUACUGUUCUGUUCCUCAAUCUCAAAGGACAUGAUCACCUUUGCUCACAGUGAUGGGCUGAGGCAUAAACCUGAUCCAAGUUACCCAUCUGGAGCUAUGACUUUUGCUAAAGCUAAAUGUUUUUUCUGUAAUUACAAGUUAUGACAUUUCUGAAGUGCCUUCCUGACAAUGCAAUGGAGAACAGAAGGGCAAAAGGUAAGAAAGAGAAAGAUAUAGAAAGACACAGAAGAAGGCUGAGGCUAUGUCCUGACUUAUUAGUGAGUCAGAAAGUACAUCUGGGUCAGUAUAUGCCUUGAUAUAACAGAUGGUGAUAAAAUAAAUUCACGUCUUUUAAAGCCAGUUCGAGUUGAAUUUAUGUACCUAGCAACCAGAAGAGUCCUGAUGUAGAAGGGCACAUAAUGUGUCCAUUUAAAUUCUGAAAAUAUUCGAAGAGAAAGCAACACAUUUGAGUUAGAGGCAGUGAGGUCUAAAAAUGUGCGCAGUCUCCAUGAAAGGAGAAAGAAGGUCAUAAAGAGACAUAAUCUGUUUCCUUCCUCUAUGCAGCUGAAUUUAACUGACCAAAGUGGAUUCAGUCUCCAGUGUGUAAUCAACGGGCAGGCGUAGGUGACAGAAAUAAUAAAGUUGCUGCCAACGAGGUUAGCUCUGCUUCAUGCUAUUUACUACUUUUUCAUGCCAUGAUUGUACUACUUGGGUAUUUUGCUAUCUUUGGAAGAAAAUGCUCCUCUUUCAAGUGAGAAAGCCACAUUUUUAUUUAGCCAAAUGUAAAGACAAUCUAAGAUGGUAUAAACCGCCAAGAAAAUACUGGAAAUAGUCAUUAUCAGUAAUCAACCUUUGUAAUUAUGGUAGAAGCUGCGCUAAGUCAUUUAUGUAAACUCCGGCACUAAAUCUUCAAAACAGCUAUGUUUGUUUUCCAAACGAGUAGACCUUGUCUUAGAGUGAUUAGGCCAUCUUCCCUGGGUGAUGAAAGUGGGGGUGGCAGAACCCAGUUUAUAGAGCAGAUGCUCAAGCAAUGCCAUGCUCUACAGUCUCUGGUGAACGGGAAUGUGGUCACGAAUUCUCCCGUCUCAGAAUACACACUCUUGUGAUGUGACUGCACCACGUGUCUCUCAUGGUGUCGAGUCCAUUCCCCGCGUAUUCUUA